UACGUAGGGUGCGAGCGUAAUCGGAAUUACUGGGCGUAAAGCGUGCGCAGGCGGUUCGUUGUGUCGGCGGUGAAAGCCCCGGGCUCAACCUGGGAAUGGCCGUUGAAACUGGCGAACUGGAGUGUGGCAGAGGGGGGUGGAAUUCCGCGUGUAGCCGUGAAAUGCGUAGAGAUGCGGAGGAACACCGAUGGCGAAGGCAGCC
rnacentral:rRNA from 1 species